rnacentral:misc_RNA from 1 species
AACGCACCUUGCACCCUUUGGUAUUCCGAAGGGUACACCCGUUUGAGUGUCAUUGUAAUCUCACUUCAACGACUUUAUUGUUGUUUGAAUGUGGACUUGGACGUCUGCCGUGUAACAAUGGCUCGUCUUAAAUGCCUGAGUGUACCCCGCUUUGCGGCGUAUUCGGUGUGAUAAACAUUUCACCGGAGUUUGGUCUUUAUUGACCGUGCUUUUAGCAAUUGGUGGGCUCUAUGCUUUCUAACCGUCUGCCUCUGUGGACAAUCUCUUGACAAUUUGACCUCAAAUCGGGUGGGACUACCCGCUGAACUUAA